AACGAACGCUGGCGGCAGGCCUAACACAUGCAAGUCGAACGAGAAGCCACCUUCGGGUGGUGGAAAGUGGCAGACGGGUGAGUAACGCGUGGGAACGUGCCUUUCGGUUCGGGAUAACCCAGGGAAACUUGGGCUAAUACCGGAUACGCCCUCCGGGGGAAAGAUUCAUUGCCGAGAGAUCGGCCCGCGUCGGAUUAGCUAGUUGGUGGGGUAAUAGCCUACCAAGGCGACGAUCCGUAGCUGGUCUGAGAGGAUGACCAGCCACACUGGGACUGAGACACGGCCCAGACUCCUACGGGAGGCAGCAGUGGGGAAUAUUGGACAAUGGGCGAAAGCCUAAUCCAGCCAUGCCGCGUGGGUGAAGAAGGCCUUAGGGUUGUAAAUCCCUUUCAGCGGGGACGAUAAUGACGGUACCGCAGAAGAAGUCCCGGCUAACUCCGUGCCAGCAGCCGCAGUAA
rnacentral:rRNA from 1 species